GUGGGGAAUAUUGCACAAUGGGGGAAACCCUGAUGCAGCGACGCCGCGUGAGUGAAGAAGUAUUUCGGUACGUAAAGCUCUAUCAGCAAGGAAGAAAAUGGCGGUACUUGACUAAGAAGCCCCGGCUAACUACGUGCCAGCAGCCGCGGUAAUACGUAGGGGGCAAGCGUUAUCCGGAUUUACUGGGUGUAAAGGGAGCGUAGACGGUAUGGUAAGUCAGAUGUGAAAGCCCGGGGCUCAACCCCGGGACUGCAUUUGAAACUAUCAGACUAGAGUGCAGGAGAGGUAAGUGGAAUUCCUAGUGUAGCGGUGAAAUGCGUAGAUAUUAGGAGGAACACCAGUGGCGAAGGCGGCUUACUGGACUGUAACUGACGUUGAGGCUCGAAAGCGUGGGGAGCAAACAGGAUUAGAAACCCGGGUAGUCC
rnacentral:rRNA from 1 species